rnacentral:rRNA from 1 species
CGGGAAGUUACCGUUGCGGUUAAGUCGGCGUUAAGGUAGACGUUGACGUAGAAUUACGAGAAACCGGUACCCUUAGCGUAAGGACAGGACGUCCGUAGUUCCGGAACGGCGUAACGUACUAGGCCUAGGACUAGUCUAGUAACGUAGUAGGGUAGUCAAACAAGAGUUUACGAGACCCUGGUCGAACCGACACCGUAAACGGUAACUAGGGUAGAUUCCGACCUGUUGGCGNGAUACACGUUGCCUAGGCCAACGCUAAAGGCGCCUAAGGUACCUUACCGACCCUUCGGGGUCGUACGUACCGGUCAACCGUUCGAAACCGUUACCGAACGGACGUUCCGACGGACCUACGGUACGUAAACCGUACUUUACAGGUUACGUAGUACGUAGCCUAAACGUCUAACGGUUAGUUAACGAACGAAGUACGCUACGGUACCAACUACGGUCGCCAAGCACGGUACCGACGGUAAGUACGUAGGGUGCGAGCGUUCGUCCGGAAUUAUUGGGGCGUAAAGGGCGUCGUAGGACGGUUUGUACGUCGUCGGGUAGGUGAAAAACGCCCGGUGCGUUAAACACGGACGUCUUGCUUUCGGAAUACGGGUCUAGACGUAGAGGUAUGCGAGGGAAGAACGGAAUUCCUCGGUGUAGCGGUGAAAUCGCGCAGAUAUCAGGAGGAACACCGGGUCGACGCGGCCG